rnacentral:rRNA from 1 species
GAUGAACGCUGGCGGCGUGCUUAACACAUGCAAGUCGAACGAGAAUCAACGGAUUGAGGAUUCGUCCAAAUGAAGUUGAGGAAAGUGGCGGACGGGUGAGUAACGCGUGAGGAACCUGCCUCGGAGUGGGGAAUAACAGUUGGAAACAGCUGCUAAUACCGCAUAAUGCAACGGAAUCGCAUGACUCUGUUGCCAAAGAUUUAUCGCUCUGAGAUGGCCUCGCGUCUGAUUAGCUAGUUGGCGGGGUAACGGCCCACCAAGGCGACGAUCAGUAGCCGGACUGAGAGGUUGAACGGCCACAUUGGGACUGAGACACGGCCCAG